AUGGUUGCCAUCACCCCACAUCACCAGUCAUGGUUGCCAUCACCCCACAUCACCAGUCAUGGUCAUCAUCACCCCCACAUCACCAGUCAUGGUCACCAUCACCCCACAUCACCAGUCAUGAUCAUCACCCCACAUCACCAGUCAUGGUCCCCAUCACCACCCCACAUCACCAGUCAUGGUCCCCAUCACCCCCACAUCACCAGUCACGGUCGCCAUCAUCACCCCACAUCACCAGUCAUGGUCACCAUCACCCCACAUCACCAGUCAUGGUUGCCAUCACCCCACAUCACCAGUCAUGGUCCCCAUCACCACCCCACAUCACCAGUCAUGGUCCCCAUCACCCCCACAUCACCGGUCAUGGUCCCCAUCACCCCCACAUCACUGGUCAUGGUCGCCAUCAUUACCCCCACAUCACCGGUCAUCAUCACCAUCACCCCACAUCACCAGUCAUGGUCACCAUCACCCCCACAUCACCAGUCAUGGUCACCAUCAUCACCCCACAUCACCAGUCACGGUCGCCAUCAUCACCCCACAUCACCAGUCAUGGUCACUAUCGCCCCCACAUCACCAUCAUCAUCACCAUCACCCCACAUCACCAGUCAUGGUCACCAUCACCCCCACAUCACCAGUCAUGGUCGCCAUCACCCCACAUCACCAGGGGAUGUCAUGGUCCCCAUCACCAUCCCACAUCACCAGUCACGGUCACCAUCACCCCACAUCACCGGUCAUGGUCACCAUCACCCCACAUCACCAUCAUCAUCACCAUCACCCCACAUCACCAGUCACGGUCACCAUCACCCCCACAUCACCGGUCAUGGUCGCCAUCAUCACCCUCAUGUCUCCAUUACCAUCACUGUCAUCAACACCAUCAUCAUCAUCGUCCACACCAACAUCACUAUUGCCAUCAUCACCCUCAGGUCACCAUUCAACACCACCACUACCACCAUCAUCACCAACACGCAUCUCCCCUGUGUCAGCACACGUGUGUGUGUAAGGGCUGUGCUUAGGGCAGAGGGGCCAUCACCCUGGCUAGGGGUUAGGAGCAGAAUCCAGGUCCUUAUUUAG
rnacentral:lncRNA from 1 species